UCCACAUAUACAAAAAGUCCUCCUGAUGUGAAGGAUAUGUCACAAUUGCUCAAUGCUAUUGUUGGGCAUGUUCCUCCACCGAGUGCCAGCCUAGAUGCCCCUUUUCAGAUGUUGGUUUCAAUGAUGGAGAAAGAUCCUUAUCUUGGUCGUGUUUUGACGGGUCGUGUAACUUGUGGAGUUGUUCGUGUCGGUGAUAAAGUACAAGGGCUGAAAAACACCGACAAUGGAACUGUAAAAAUUGAAGAAGGGAAGGUUGUAAAGCUGAUGAAAAAGAAGGGUAUGAGAGCAGAUCCAGUUGAUAGUGCUGGUGCAGGUGACAUAGUGUCCAUGGCAGGUUUGUCAAGUCCAACAAUUGGACACACAGUUGCGAAUGCAGAGGUUAUGACAGCGCUGCCCACAGUUGUGCUUGACCCCCCUACCAUCUCCAUGACUUUCGGUGUCAAUGAUUCUCCCUUAGCUGGUUCUGAUGGUAUUCAUUUGACCGGAGGGAAAAUUGGUGACCGGCUGCUAGCUGAAUCAGAAACGAAUCUUGCCAUAAAUGUUCUCCCCAGUACGUCAGAAUCAUAUGAAGUGCAGGGUAGAGGUGAACUUCAAUUAGGUAUCUUAAUUGAGAACAUGAGACGUGAAGGAUUUGAGCUCUCUGUCUCCCCACCUAAAGUCAUGUACAAAGUAGAGAAAGGUACUAAGCUUGAGCCAAUUGAAGAAGUGACUAUUGAGGUUGAUGACGAGCACGUAGGUUUGGUCAUGGAAGCACUUUCUCACAGGCGAGGUGAAGUUACUGACAUGGGCCCUGUUCCUGGCAGCAUGGGAAGGACUAGAAUGUGUCUGACAUGUCCUUCAAGAGGGCUAGUGGGCUAUAGAAGUGUGUUCAGCAGUGACACCCGUGGCUCUGGAUUUAUGCAUCGGGCUUUUCUGACUUAUGAAAAAUAUCGUGGUCCUCUUGGAAAUGUCAGGAAAGGAGUUCUAGUAUCAAUGGGCCGUGGGUUAAUCACUGCUCAUGCACUGAUGGGGUUAGAACCUCGUGGAGUUCUCUUUGUGGCACCUGCAAUGGAG
rnacentral:misc_RNA from 1 species